AACCUAGCACACCUGCGGUGUGUACCUGCGGAAGGAUCAUUACCGAGUGCGGGUCCUCGUGGCCCAACCUCCCACCCGUGACUAUUGUACCUUGUUGCUUCGGCGGGCCCGCCAGCCCUGCUGGCCGCCGGGGGGCGUCUCGCCCCCGGGCCCGUGCCCGCCGGAGACCCCAACAUGGACCCUGUUCUGAAAGCUUGCAGUCUGAGUGUGAUUCUUUGCAAUCAGUUAAAACUUUCAACA
rnacentral:misc_RNA from 1 species